rnacentral:lncRNA from 1 species
UGAGUCUGAAGCCAGCAUCCCAGAGGACGUAGAUCUGACUAGAGCUGAGUCUCUGAACCCAGGAAGAAGAACACUUCAGGAGACAGAUGCAAUGAUGAAUGACAUCCAAAGCCAUUACAUCUGGAGAACUAGGACCAUCCUUGCCAACACUGAGAUGGGAGCUUCCAUUCCAUUCCAGCUGCUGCUGCCCUAUUCUUUUCCUCUGGUAUACCUCGUCCUUCGCACAGAAAACCCUGAAGUCAGAUGAGUCACAUGGAUCCUCAUAA